AUAAAGUGGAAUAUUAAGCAAUACAACAAAUAAAGACGAGCAAACAAGCACAAGAUAUAAGAUCAGCACAAUCCUAAUACAUGGGAGAUGUUUUCUAUGUCAUUACAUAGAAAAGCAGAUGCUUUAAGUUUUCAAAAAUUAUAUAAAAAAAAAUCCAUAGCAUAAAACUUAUGUUAGCAAUUUGUAAGCAGGAAUAAGGAUAGCACAUUGUCCUUUUCACAUGAAUUUGGACUUU
rnacentral:misc_RNA from 1 species